UUAUGGGAAUAUUCAAGGUCUCGGCCAAAUAGUGGAACAGGAAAUCAGUGAUGGCAGCAAUGUCACAUGGGAAAACCGAAACACAAACUUCCAGAUAUUUAACGGCAGUGGAUUCUCCCACAUCAUAGUCUACACAUGUGACGAGCUCGCAGCAAGGAGUUUCAUGUGGAGACCCCUGUUCUUCGAAAAGGCCAACGGCAGCAGUUUUUACCAAUAUGUCUUAGUCCACAAAUGUGAACAGUUUGCAGGACCAGGUACUGCAAACCCCAUGACAGAAUCUAAUCCAACACAGAGUACAACAGAUUACAGCCAGUCUGCUGUCAAGAUGAUCACAGAAAGCAAGACUACAAACAACAUGACAGAAUCUAAUCCAACACAGAGUACAACAGAUUACAGCCAGUCU